rnacentral:rRNA from 1 species
AUUGAACGCUGGCGGCAGGCCUAACACAUGCAAGUCGAACGAGUGGCGGACGGGUGAGUAAUGUCUGGGAAACUGCCUGAUGGAGGGGGAUAACUACUGGAAACGGUAGCUAAUACCGCAUACCAUCAGAUGUGCCCAGAUGGGAUUAGCUAGUUGGUGGGGUAACGGCUCACCAAGGCGACGAUCCCGAGCUGGUCUGAGGGGAUGACCAGCCACACUGGAACGUGGACACGGUCCAGACCCCUACGGGAGGCAGCAGGGGUGAAUAUUGCACAAUGGACGCAAGCCUGAUGAAGCCAUGCCGCGUGUAUGAAGAGGGCCUUCGGGUUUUAAAGUACUUUCAUCGGGGAGGCGUUACCCGCAGAAGAAGCACCGGCUAACUCCGUGCCAGCAGCCGCGGUAAUAG